rnacentral:rRNA from 1 species
UACCAGCUCCGCGAGUGGUCGGGACGAUUAUUGGGCCUAAAGCGUUCGUAGCCGGUCUAGUAAGUCUCUAGUUAAACUUCAAGGCUUAACCUUGAGAUCGCUGGGGAUACUGCUAGACUAGGGGGCGGGAGAGGUUGAGGGUACUUCGCGGGUAGGGGCGAAAUCCUAUAAUCCGCGAAGGACCACCAGUGGCGAAGGCGCUCAACUGGAACGCGCCCGACGGUGAGGGACGAAAGCCAGGGGAGCAAAG